UGCCAGCCGCCGCGGUAAUACGUAUGGUGCAAGCGUUAUCCGGAAUCACUGGGCGUAAAGGGUACGUAGGCGGUUUUGCAAGUCAGAAGUGAAAGGCUACGGCUCAACCGUAGUAAGCUUUUGAAACUGCAAAACUAGAGUUCAGGGAGAGGUAAGUGGAAUUCUGUGUGUAGGGGUGCAAUCCGUAGAUACACAGAGGAACACCAAAAGCGAAGGCAACUUACUGGAACUGUAUUGACGCUCAUGAACGAAAGCGUGGGUAGCGAAAAGGAUUAGAUA
rnacentral:rRNA from 1 species